UGACGACAGAACGUUUGUAGUGGCGUCGCGGUAGAUUUAAAUUCCAUUUUUAGUUGUUUUUUUUUUUCAUGUUAAAGUUUAUUUAAGUCUGGGAACAGCUGCUGGAGCUCACCAAAAUGGGGAAAACCUACAUAAACAUCGCAGAUGAAGAAGAGGAUGCCGGCAGCAAACGUCUUGUCAAAGCCAUCAAAAGAGGAGUAGUGGAUGAAGGCCAUGACCCCGAUCACAAUGCCGAUGAAGCAAGCCAGCAAGGAGAGGAUCAUGAAAGCCCGCGUGGCAUCCCAGUACGCUGAGCAGCGGAAAAGGAACGCUGAUGUCAGUUCAGAGGCACACAGUAGCGCCACAAGCCCUGGUGCAUAUAAUUGCUGGAGUGACGGUACUGCAUCCAAUAGUCCGUUGCCGUGGAGACGAUGAGGAGUAUGUUGCCCACUCCGGCGCAGAACAAGCCUCCUCCCAUGAAGCUGUACAUCCUGACCAGGGACUGACACGGAGAAGAGAGCAGUGAUGAUGGUGAGGUCAAGUCAAAGCUGGACAACUAAAGCUGCAACACAGACCAGAACAGAUCAUCUACAGUGACGGUCACUCCAACGAUCCCAGUGCUCCUCUAGGGUCGGCUCAUGUAGGAGUCCCAUGACCAGAACCUAGAAUGCUCUUUUUACAUCAAGCUCAAACACUGCUGCUGUUAGCAUUUAUGCGCCAGUUUUUUGAUCAGAGCCAUGGGAACAGACUGGACGAGGAAGCCAGGGAGGAAGAGGACGGGCGUCAGAUGAGGUUCUGAAAGGGAACAGCAAGAACAGUGAGACGUACCUGGUCUCUGCUCUUGGGAGCAGCGGAGGCUCUGGGGAAGACUCCUCCACCCAGGGAUCCGUAGCCUGACAUCUGUGUCUUCUGCUGGAGGGUUGACUGACCGUGCUGGAUUAAAGUCUCAUCUGCAGACGACAAAGAAAUGAGGGAAGAGGAAGUGACAAGACGUCCACCCAUGUGAGUGGCGGCAACUUAGGCGAGGAGCCGGUGGACUUCUGCCUCACCAGUUUAUCUGUGAAAGCUCUGACAAACCGUGCUGGUACCAUCCUUCCUCAGCAGCCUGUUGGUCUCCUCCAUCUCCACAUUAACGAAUGCUGAAGAGGCCAAAGUACUAGAAGGUCUGAAGAAGUCUGAGGCUUUGCUGGUCGCUGAAGCUGUGCUAUGAGUAGCAUGUCUGAUGGAAAGGUGAGUAGUGAGGAGGGAAACUGCUCCUCAGAUGAUCCAUGAAGAACACAAGCCUCAGAGGAUUAGGUGUCAGGCUGUGGUGUGGUGAGACUGCAGACUGGUCUGGUCACCUUUGGACCUCUGCUGUCCAGCAUUGGUGAGGGUCAGUGAGAUAUCUUCGUCCUUUUUGCCGAGAAAGUGCAGCACCUGGAGAGGUGCGGAGAUGAUGGUGCAUGCUGAUGGUGGUCUCUCCCGGUGAAGUCAGGAUUUUUAAAAGAUUUGUCAGAGCGACCGGUAUGUCAUCCUUAAAUCCUGCGUCGUCCUCACACACACCACCAACGUCUUUGCGAUGGUUUUCCCUCGCAAGGUUCUGAGGGAAUUUCAGAUGUGGGACAUUGUCUUGCCUAUUUAAGGCGCCUUGCGUUUACAAUUACGGUUUUUAUUUAUCGCUUCUGGAAGGCUUUCAUCGCCCGCUCAUCCUUGGCUGCUGCACGUCCCCGAAGGUCUCGCAAAAUGAAACGGUUUGAUUCUAAAAGGAGUGUGUUUUGGCAGUCAAAGAUAAGCCAUUGUUAUAAAUCGCCGCACGAGGUGCACCAAAUUAUGAGUCACCAUGGCAACAAGCCUCGCGCUUCACGUUUGCAGCGCUCCCUGAUGAAACUUGGCUCCAACUCAACUCCAUGAUCAAGUGGGUCUGAUGGCAGAUUGAAAGUUUGAGAACUCACCAUUGCUUUUCUUGUUAUACUGGAGUUUGGCGUAUUCCGAGCCGGACUUUGCCGACUGAAGCGUCCACUGCUCCAGCUCCUGCUCCAGCGCCUUGUUGGACAGGACCGGGUUGCUGCUGUAAGGGUCCGGGCCUUGCUUGUAGCUGGCGCUGGUGUAGGUGUCGUAGUAGGCCAGCAGCUCCUCGUCCGCCGCCGUGUUGAUGGUGCUGUAGAUGGGGCUGUCGUUGGACGCCGUGCUGCGUUUCUCCGAGUGGCUCGGGAAGUUGGAGAUGCUGAUAGCUGUAGAGCAGCAACCAUUAGUGAGGUUCGCUUCCGCUUCAGUGUCCGAUUCUCUUACUGUUGUAGAAUCUCUCGGCGUCCAGUUUGCCUGAGCAGCAGUUGACCGACUCCUUGCUGGUGAGCGUGAGGUUGGGUGUGGGCCAGGAGUCAGCCAGCCAGGGGUAGGUGCCCAUGUUGGAGCCCAGCAUGCCGGGUCUGGGACACACAAACUCAGCGUUAAAAAAACAACAUGGUGAGAAUGAUUUGGAGACUGGACAACCUUACCCUCCGUUGAUGAUCCCAGAUCCUUCGUUGUGAGCAAAGCCAGCUGGAGGCAGAAGGUUUUGACUGAAUCAAUAAACUGCAGCGAAUAACUUGGAAGAGUUGACAACUCAGCAAAUACUCAGACUGCCCGUUGCCUAAUAAGAUAGCACUAGUACACAGUUCCCUCGGAGGGAGCAGCAUUGUUCGAAAAUCAAGAAAUGUAUUUCAGUAAAUACACAUUUCUUAUAUGCUGGAUUUUUUUAUGACUCCAUUUUUCUCAUACUUUCUAGGGAUUUUUCUCAUUUCUUUGGUUUGGAUUACUGGAUUAUCAUUACACUCAUGAAGACGGAUUAAAUAAAUGAUAUUUCAAUAAAAUAUAAAUUCAAUGUACACUGUUAUGAAACAUAAAACAAUAUAUACUGAGACACACCUUGAAUUUUCCAAAUUCAUGUACAACUGCAUUUAUGAAAAAGACAUGAACAUUCAAUUUUGUCUAGGUGAGACCUCUUUAAUAUUAUGAUUAAAUUAUGAUAAUUCCCUGUAUUUCUUUCAGGGAGAUGGAAGGCUGUUGUCUCCACCUUCACAGCGUCUGUGAAUGGUAACUAUAAAUGUAGAUAUUACAAAAGUACAGCAAAAGGCAGCCCAGAUGGUGAUGAAAAGUCAAGUAUUUCUGAAUGCUUGCUGGUAAAAUAGUUUAAUAUUGGACGGACUGGUAAGAGAAGUCUUGUAGCUGUAGUGGACACAGAACUCAUGUCCUGCUGGGAGGAGAGCAUGGAGCAGACUGAGGACCAGAUGGAGGGAUUAUAUCUCCACACACUCAGUCGGAGCUGGAUCCUGAGCAAAGUAAAGUUUGGUCAGUCGGUUGUAACCGUCAUGUUUGUGAUCAGGGAUCAAAUAAGUACUAGUUUUAAAGCUUCAGUGUUAGAAGUCAGAGCAGUGGGUGGGGUUGCAAUAGUAGUAGCAGCAGUAGGAAGUGGAGCCAGUCGCUGGAUGACCAGUGAAAACAGGUUGAGCAUCACUUCCACAACAGCCUCCAUCACUGAAGGCGCUGCACUCACCGGCUGGUGUGUAGGCGAAGGAAGUGGUGUAGUGACCCAGCUGCUUCCUCCGGCGGUGGCGACAGUAGAACCAGCCGCUGAAGCCCACCAGAGCCAGCCAGGCGGCCACGCCCAGCCCGGCUAAGAAGGCCGGCUGCCGGACCACGCUGGUGAUCUGCUCCGAGAUGCUGAGGUCGCUGCUUUUCUUCACCGGGGUGGUCGACGCCGGCUGAGCUGCAGGAGAGUUAAGAAAUCCUUUUGUUCACUCUUAAACCUGGCCACAUGGUUUUGGGAUUCGACACAUUUUCAUUCAUCAUUCACAAACAUCAACAGUCAAUGAACGUUCUAAUUUCACUCCCCCCAGUGCAGUGCCACCAUGACCCAGCAGUUUUCUUCCAAAGAUGUCUCCCAGGAAAAACACCUUAGUUCAACACCAAGCACAAGAGAAUUCAAAUGCUGCUGAACACUAUUCAGUUCAACGGUUUCCAUGAGAAGAAGUUAUUGAUCACCGUGGACUGACUUGACACUGUUGUUGCUGCCACCUGAGGCGGCCAACAAACAGCCUUUCACUCAUCUCAGCGCCGCAGCAGGAAGCUCAUAUUUAAUGCAGAUCAGAGUGAUAUUGAUUUCACCAUCCAACACUGCAAGGAAGUCCAUGAGAGUAUUUCCCAACAGUGCUCCUAAAAAUAGCUGCUGAUUCAGAGGUGGCGUCACAGGCAGCCAGUGAGUGAGGAGCCUCAAAAGAAAAAAAAAAAAAUUCGCUUUAUAUUUAAAAUAUCACCUUUUUCUUUUUUUUAGCUUUAACUUUAACAAGAACAUUUCUAGUAUCAUGUACAAACUUUAAAAACAGUAGGUUUUGGUUCAACCUUUCUGAAAUUCCGUGACUUCAACCUUUAAUUUUUCAUAAUUAUUUUGCACCAUUUUUUAAGCCUAAAAAUACCAUGACUUUUAACAUAAUAUCAGUACUUAAAAGACAGUGUUACUGCAUGACAAUAGGUUACAGUUAUUGAACUAGUAUCACUUUGUAAAUGUUAUGUUUUCAUCAAUAUACCUUCCAUUUUUUUCUCAUUAGAUUUUAGUUAGUAUUGAACGAAGUAUUCAGCAUUAAAAUAUUGACCUUCACCAAGGACAUGUCGUCGCCUGUAUCUAUCUGACUUUUGAAGUUUCAUCGCUCUGUGGUGGAACGAACACCCAUUCUCAUUUGCUCCGUCUGUCUGUGUUGUGCAAGCUCCAUAGUGAUGGGUUGAUGAGGCUUCAUGAAACAGCAUCCUAUGUGGCACUCUCCGCUCAAAAACCUUCAGAUUUGAACCAUUUCUAUGAAAUCUCCCAUCAUUUUUAAACCGAGAGCGCCACCUACUGAGCUCAGAAAAUGAGGAUGCUGUUUCAUGAAGCCACAUCUCCAGCCCAGUUCCAGAACCCUACUGCCACCUGCUGUCACAUGAUGAGGACUGCAGUUCAGACCCUCUUCCUGUCCCCUCACUCGUUCCAGCAGAACCACCUGUCAGAAGGCGUCUGACUGAUCCACGGCAUCAAUAACCGUCUGUCUGACUUACCCAGUCGGAAGCUGACGGCCGAGCUCUGGGCUCCCACUCCGAGGCCGGUGACAGCCGCCACGGUGACGGUGUAGCGGACGUCCGGCAGGAGGCCCGUCAGCAGGAUGGACAGAACCGCCCCGUCCACCGUCCGGUUUAUCUGCGUCUCCUGAUGCACAUCGCUGCCCACACACCAGACCUGAUGGCAGCAUGACAAGCCCAGUUAACGUUUGAAUAUUGAUGGGGCCGAAUUGUUGGAGCGUGGCGCUGCAACCAUGUCUGACCUGCAACAAUCUUUUUUUGUUUGUUUUGUUUUUAUCUUCAGCUAACGACAAAACCAGAAGUCCAUUUUUAAGACAUUACGGACAUUUUUGGUCAGUUUCUACUGUGGGACAACUUUCUUUUUUCAUCAACUUGUGCCAUUUCCUGCAGCUCAAAUGGCAACUUCCUCCAAACUCCAAAUUGAUUUUUUUUUUCAUACUUUCUAGGGAUUACUGGAUUAUUAUUACAUUCAUGAAGAAGGAUCAAAUAAAUGAUAGUUCAAUAAAAUACACUAUUAUAAAACAUGAAACAAUAUAUAGUUUAACACACCUUUUAAACUGUC